CAAAACUUUCGAUAUGCUAGGGAUAAGGAAACUACUUAAUCAGAUUAAUAUUUCAAAUUUAUUUCACUGUUAAACAGUAAAAAUGGGCAUCCCCAAUCCACAAGACUCCCUGCUUUACAAGGGUCAGUGGAGGAUCAUCUGUCCUAUGCUGCUUUUCCCCUACUUUAUGAAAAUAAAAUGGCGUUUGAUGACUCAAAUCUGUGACCUUCCAAUCACAAAAGAGCAAUCUUACCAUUGCAUCAAAGCAUUGUUAUGUGAUAUAAAUUAUAACAAUUAAUCCAUAAAGACUUAGGAUUUUUU
rnacentral:misc_RNA from 1 species